rnacentral:pre_miRNA from 1 species
UCUUAUGGAUUAGCAGAGAAAGUGGUUUCUUGAGAUAGAAUCUUCUACUGGUGACUAUGCUUUGAA